rnacentral:rRNA from 1 species
GACGAACGCUGGCGGCGUGCUUAACACAUGCAAGUCGAACGGAAAGGCCCUACUUUUGUGGGGUGCUUGAGUGGCGAACGGGUGAGUAACACGUGAGUAACCUGCCCCUGACUUUGGGAUAACUUCUGGAAACUGCGGCUAAUACCGGAUAGGAGCUCCUGCUGCAUGGGGGGGGUUGGAAAGUUUCGGCGGUUGGGGAUGGACUCGCGGCCUAUCAGCUUGUUGGUGUGGUAGUGGCUUACCAAGGCUUCGACGGGUAGCCGGCCUGAGAGGGUGACCGGCCACAUUGGGACUGAGAUACGGCCCAGACUCCUACGGGAGGCAGCAGUGGGGAAUAUUGCACAAUGGGCGGAAGCCUGAUGCAGCAACGCCGCGUGCGGGAUGACGGCCUUCGGGUUGUAAACCGCUUUCGGCAGUGAAGAAGCGAAAGUGACGGUACCGGGUAAAGAAGCACCGGCUAACUACGUG